UAGCCCACGCGCGCCCGGUCGGGUCUCGCACGCGGGCACUUGCGCGGGGCGCGGCCGGCAAGCGAAAAAGGCCCCGGGUUCCAGGUGGCGCGGUUCCGGCCCCGGCGGCCGCCCCCUUCCCCUUGGGACACACACGAGUGCUAGGAAAGGGGGACCGAGGAACUUAGCGAUCUCCGGGUGGAGUUCGCGUAGCCACUGGGAGUCGGGUGCCUGCCGUCUUUCCCGUGCGCAGGAACCCCGGUCGGUGAUCGGGAUGGGGUGCUUUCAUUUAUUUUUCUCUCUGCUUUUCCAAAACCGACCCUGUGACGGUCCCCAUCUUAAGGGGAAGUCGAAAGUGAAGGGGGAGGGAGGUGCUCAAUGAGAAACGUUGCCUUGUGUGUAGAGUUAACACAUUUCCGGAGCACACUGCCCAUGAUAUUGGCAUCUCGUCCCCAAAGUCGCUUUGAUUCAACUUGGAUGAGUUUCUCGUAAACGGCAAUAUUUCGGUGGUGAGAGGCGAGAGGAGACGAGCACCUGAUUUGAGUACGGACUGAUUUGAUCACCUGUGGGAUAGCUUCAAUGAGGCUCAAGAAGCAGGUCUGAGUUUUGAACUUAGCUUUGAUGUUUUAUUGAGUUAUAGUCCCAUUUUUCUGUCCCACGAAUUCCCUGCCUCUUCAUAUCUGGGAGGAAGCAAUUAUGGAAGAUGGAUUUGGUUGGUUCCUUAAUCAAAUUGGGUUCAGUCUCCCAGUUAUCUCUCAGUUGUUCAGAGAGGAAGAGUUAGGCAUGCAAAUGUGUGACAGUGAAGGGUGUAUCACCACUAGCUAGAAAUCAGUGUGCAUAAAAUUUUAUUUAUAUAUAUGAAGUUGAAACUUUAGUAAUGCUCUUCAGUUGUGCUUUAAAGAGCACCUUUGACUUUUAGCACAAAGGCGAAAACAAAACCAACUUGAGUGAAUAUUUUGAGGUGUUGCCCUCCUCACAGUGAGAAACGUCCUGGCUUUGAAAUAAUAUUGGCCUCAAUGUUGGCCAUGCAUGGGUUUCAGUCUGUUCAUUUUCUUGGCUUACAGGGAUAGAAGACCCUCUAACCAAAAGAAGAAUUACUUUAAAUCUUAAGUACUGCAUACUGUAAAUUGAAAGAGUCCCCUUGUGGUGCAGUGGGUUAAGGAUCUGUCAUUGUCACUGCAGUGCAGAUUUAAUCCUUGGCCCUGGAACCUCUACAUGUUGGGGGCGCUGCCAAAAAAAAAAAACAAACCCAAAAAACAAAAAAACCCACAACAACAACAACAAAAACAAGGAAUUGUCAAAUGGUAAAAUGAUGUACUUAACUUUUUGACUUACUUGUUACUUAGCCUUAUCACCAUAAUACUGAUUUGAAAACAGUAUCUAGUAACUUCAUUAAAGUAAUCUGUGAUGUUUAUGGGAAAGUAUCACUUCCCCCUUUAAGUUUUCAUGAGACAGUCUAUCCAUCAGUCAUAGAUGGGAGUCCUGCCUGAAUGCUUUUCUAAAGUCACUUGGUAUUUUGUUGGACAAUGCCUGAAAUAUUCCUAAGUAAUAAGACUGAAAGAGAUUGUAAAGAUCUGAAAGUUUGAGAUAUACCACAAAAAACACAUUCCUGAAAGUUCUUGACUCAAGUAAUGGGAAACACAGCAAAAUUUGAGCUUUUCUGAACUUUUAAUAGUCUACGUUGUCAGUCAUGUUAACUUGCAAUUGCAUUGACACAGAUCUUUGUGUUGAACAUUAAAGAAUUCUUUUAAUUGACUUGUCUCGUGUAAUUAGAGAACAUCUUUUAAUCUUGCAAGAGGUCUUUUCAUAUGAUUUAUUAUAUAUUAACAUGUUCAUGAAUGUUAAAGUAGGAUAGACUCAAGCUCUAUGCCAUACUGACAUUUCUUCCUUUCCUAGAGAAAACUCUGAGGGUAGAAAAAGUGGCAGGUUUUAAACUGUAACAAAACUGAUUUGGGGGAUCCUGUUGUGGUACACUGGAAACCAUCCAACUAGGAACCAUGAGUUUGUGAGUUUGAUCCCUGGCCUCUCUCAAUGGGUUAAGGAUCCGGCAUUGCUGUGAGCAGUGGUGUAGGUUGCAGACUCGGCUCGGAUCUGGCGUGGCUGUGGCUGUGGCUGUGGCUGUGGCUAUGGCUGGCAGCUGCAGCACUGAUUUGAGCCGUAGCCUGAGAACCUGCAUGUGCUGUGGGUGCAGCCCUAAAAAAAAAAAGGCAAAACUGAUUUGGGCUUUGAAUAUGUAUGACUUAAGAUUUGGUGAUUUACUCAAGUCAUUAGAUUCCUAGUUUCUUUGAGAAUAUGAGAGUCUAGUUAAGGAAAUUUCUUUGAAUAUUUAUUUAAUAUUAGACUCUGAUGCUAUAAAGGAUGCUAAGAGAGCUAGCUAUUUGUCCUGGUCCUGUAAAAUAGGCAUUUCUGUAAUAUGUUUUUAGUGCAGGGAUUAUCCUGAGGUCUGUGAACCUCAAGGGAUCCAUGAAUAGGCUUCUAGAAAUUUCUGAACUCCCCUAUAGUUAUAACCAAGACAUUUUUGCAUAUGUAUAUUUUUCUGGGGAGGAGUGCAUGGUUGUUUGUAAAAGAAGUCCUGGGGUCCCCUAAUUAGAGAUGCAUGUUUUAUUAAAUAAAAUGAGAAUCAUUAUUGAGGGAAAAAAAUAAGAAAAAAGUUGAUCUUUGUACUUAGUGUUUGCCUUUUAAAGUUAUCUUUAGCCUAGUCAUGUGGUCUUAGAGGUGCAAAAGUGCGGCCAUUUUGUUCCCACAGCAAAGUGUUGUCUGUCAGUUGAUAAACCAUGCACCCACAUAAAGGGCUUGACAUGCUAAUCCUGGGUGCAUUGUGCCUGUUUUAAAAUUAUAUUUAAAAAUUUAGAUCAGGAGUUCCCAUCUCUGCUCAGCAGUAAUGAACCCAACUAGUAUCCAUGAGGACGUAGGUUCAAUCCCUGGCCUCACCCAGUGGGUAAGAAUCUGGCAAUGCUGUGAGCCGUGGUGUAGAUUGCAGAUGUAGCUCGGAUCCACAUUGCAGUGGCUGUGGUGUAGGCUGGCAACUGCAGUCCCUGUUGGACGUCUAGCAUGGGUACUUCUCUGUGCCUUCGGUGCAGCUCUAAAAAGCAGAAAAAACCCAAACAAAUCAAAAAACAUUAGAUCAAAUGGAUUUAUUGUCGAUACGCAGAGGCUUUAGCCCAGUAACCACUCUUAGAGCUAAUCGUUUAUUCAACUCCACACCCUUACUGCUCUCCAGCAAAUUUGACUGAGAGAUAGUCUAAGGAAAUGUGUUGGUGCCUUGGCAGAAUGCUAUGGGAAAAACACAGUUUCUGAGUCAAAACAGGCUUAAGUCCAAAUCUGGGUUCUUUCGUUCUCAUUCACUGUAUGUACUUAUCCUGCCUGACCCUGAGGUUCCUCAUCUAGAUAAAGCCUACCUAGUAGAAGUGUUGGGAGCCUUGCAGGAAGUUCCCUGUAUGAAACUCUGAGCCCCUCAUUUGGUGCACAGGAAGAACUUGGGAGCUAGAUGUUGGUAACCAUUCAUAAACACCCAAGUAAAUAUGUACAAACAUGUUAUAUAAUAAUGGUAUACGUUAUCUGCAAAUAAGUAUGAUGAAAAUAUCAACCAAGUGAAACUUCUUAAAAAUCUGGUUUUCACAAAAUGAGUUAGGAUUGAGUGGUUCUUAUAAUUGUAGGCUUUUUGGAGAACUUGAAGGAAAAUGGUGGUAUAGUUGGCAAAGCAAAGAACAUGGAUCCUAGUAAGAAAGAUUCAGCUGCCUACCAGCAUCAUAGCCCUUUCUUUGAGUAAGAUUCAUUUAACUGUUACUCCUCAUUGUACUUUAAAUGAAAAAUCUAAAUUAAACUGUAUAUGUGCUUUCUAAACCAUUGCCUCAAAAAAUGUUUCCUCACCCCCUUCUUUUGGAGACCCUUACACAUUGAUUGCAUUUAGUAGAAGUUAGAUCUAUAACUUUGAUGGUGACAUCUUUAAAAUGUCUCCAUGUUUGAGUACCUGCAUCAGUUUUUCUCAACAAGCAAGUUCCUGGAAGAAAUAAGUUGCAUUUUACUUUCUUUAAAGGAAAUGAUGUUACUAUAAGGAGAAAGAGGGAGAGGGAGGAGAGAGAUGAAUAGAACACUUCUGAUGCUCAUGGCCAUAAAAUAACCUUCCACUGUUCCUGUGGUCUUUUCCUCUCUUUUAGUCCUGGUGAACAUUGUUGUCUUGUGCUUUUAAGUCAGGGAGUGGUUAGGAACACAGGCUUAGACUUGAACCUGGGUUUGAGAUUAAAUGAGAUAAUAAAGGCAAAAGGCUUUGCUCAGUGCUAAGCUCCUAAAGGUAGUAGUCAUUUUGAGGACGGUUUCAUUCUCUUGUCCAAGGAGAUAGCUCAUGUAUUCUUUCAGAGAGAAACCUUUAAUCCUACUCACCCCAACACACACCUUCUGAGACCAUUCUACUUUCAACUCAAAAAACCUUUCACAUUUUUCUGGUUACUAUUUGGCUAGUACCCCAGCAUCCAUAGAACCAAUUAGACCUGCCUGCUGUUCUUAAAAAUGGGGCUGCAUUCUCUGUUAGGCUAGCAGGCUAUGUCUAAAUUCUGGGUAUGUCAGGGCCAAACUAACAAGCAUGAAGCAUUUAGAGCCUCCCAACUCAGUGCAUGGAGAAGGUAGCCAUUGACCAGGAGUGGGCAUGGCUGUGUUCAGUAAAACUUUGUGGACACUGAUGUUUGAAUUUCAUGAAAUUUUUGUAUGCUGGGAAACAGUUUUAAGAAUUUUUCAACCAUUUAAAAGUGUUAUAUAUAGGUAAUGGCUCAUAGCAUAAGUCAGAAUUGGAUUUGACCCAUUCAAGGGCCAUAGUUUACUGAGCCCUUGCCUAGAAGAAUGUUAGACCCCAAGUCCUAUAGGUGUGUGGUGUUAGCAAGCAACAGUACCUCCUCUUACCCCUAUACACACUGCCAUUUUCCAUCUUAAAUGUUCAGUGCUUUUGUUAUGGUUGCUUUAUCUAAUGUCCCUGCCUUCCCCAUUAGGAUGAAACUCCAGUAGAUUAGUUAUAAUAUGUGGCCUUCCCCUCCUAGGCACAAACAUGGUGCUCUCCAGUAAAUUAUUUGUUGGUAAAAAUAGUCUCACCUUGCCCAGUUUGCCAAAGAACUUGAUGAUUGAGCCUUGUCAUUUGUGUUGGUUUUGAAGGGAAUAAGUGCCUUUGGAGCUGCUUUAUGCCUCAAGUUCCUGUUACCCUCCUGGUGCCCAGGAGGGGAAGUAGUUGAUACUAGGCCCUCAAGCUGCUACCUAGACACUCUUCCCUGUAUCUGGCCUCCCCCAUCCCCUUGUACAUGAUGUUUGGUUAAAUAAAGCACACAAAGGUUCCUCUUGUGUUCUAACCCCUAGAGAUUAGCUUCAGGAUUGGUUCUAUACAGAGCAUGUAGAUGUAUAUGUCUGUGUGUAAUUUAAUCCAGCCAUCACUGAGUCUCUGAAAGCUGUUUCUUUUAGUUGUCACCUUUUCUCUUUUUCUUGAUGCUUCUUUCUCAGCCCUUGUAUAGGAUUCAGAUUUGGUGACCUGGUGGCUGCUAUAACUGAUUAGUGUAUUUUUUGCCUCUCUCCUUGCCUUUUAGUUUUCCCUACUAAUUUGCUUGUUUUAUAGCAAGUAUAUUCUUUUCAGAGUUUAAGUUUUCAAAUUAAUAAAUGCUGAAAACAAAACCGGUUUAUUAGGUAUUUUAGAAUUCCCCCCCUCCAAAUGUAAUUCUAAUGCAAUAUCAGAGGCAUGAAUUGAUAUUUUAGAUUUUUAGAGAUAAAUUGAAUUUUUAAAGUUUUUGGUUGCUUAAUCUAAAUAUUAGAAAUGUAAAAUAUGCUAUUACUCUUAAAUUUAAGGGUUUCCUUCUUUUGAAAAAGGUAAAUUUGGUAUGUAUUUUAUGGGUGACACUUGGGGCAAUAUGGAUCCAGAGUUAUAAAAUGACAAGCUAUCGUCUAGGAAUUUAUCUUAAAGAAACAGUCAUAUGUACCAGAUUGCUCAUUGCCCUGUUUUUUGCAACAGCAAAACAUGGAAAGUAACCUAAACCCCUAUUAAUAAAGGAUUGAUUAAGUCAUUAGGGCCUAUCCAUAUAGUGAAAUACUGUGCAAUCUUUAAACAGGAUGGUAGAGGCCAAUAUUUAUUGAUAUGGAAUGAUAUUUAGAAAAACAGAAUGGGAUGAGAAUAUGCUUAAUGUAUGAUUUUUUUUUUUUUUUUUGCUUUUCAGGGACACACCUUUGGCAUAUGGAAGUUCCCAGGCUAGGGUGUUGAAUCAGAGCUGCAGCUGCCAGCCUACGCCACUAGCCACAGCAAUGCAGGAUCUGAGCCUCAUAUUCGACCUACAGCACAGCUCACAGCAAUGCCAGAUCCUUAACCCACUGAGCAAGGCCAGGAAUCAAACCUGCAUCCUCAUGUAUGCUAGUCGGGUUCAUAACCCACUGAGCCACAAUGGGAGCUCCCUAAUUUUCUUUAAUAUGGACAAAAGCUCUGUAUAUAGAAAUCUUAAAAGAAAGUAUGUAUGCCAAAUACUAAUAAGAGCUUAUUAUCUCUAGGUAAUAAUAUUGUGGGUGAUCUUUUUUCUCAAUUUUUUUUACCUAGGAUGUACUGCUUUUAUAAUCUCGGAAGAAUGAUGAAAUUAUUAAAGAAUAGACAUACUAAUUGAAAACCUCUCCUGUUUGUGCUAAAUAAAGCUUCAUUCCCUGAGGUGACCAGUUCCUCUCAAUGGACUGUGUUGUAUUGAAUGAGAAGUGAAAUAUACUUUCUCAUAUGCCUUUAAAAAUCUUUUCUUAUUUAAUUAAUUAAUUAAUUAAUUGUCUCUUCUGGGGGCCACACCUGCAGCAUAUUGGAGGUUCCCAGGCUAGAGGUCUAAUUGGAGCUAUAGCUUCCAGCCCUCACCACAGCAACACCAGAUCUGAGUCGAGUCUGCAACCUACACCACACUCAUGGCAACGCUGGAUCCCUAACCCACUGAGCAAGGCCAGGGAUCGAACCCACAACCUCCUGGUUCCUAGUCGGAUUUGUUAACCACUGAGUCACAAGGGGAAAUCCUAAAAAUAUUUUCUAUAUUACUAAUAAGCAAGAAUAUUUUCUAGACUCUUAUAACAGGAAAGAAAAAAAUUAUAUAGAGGACCAAACAAAUAUCAGUUUUUAGAACAAACUCACUGAAAAAACACUCAGGCACAUAGACAUUUACAUUGCUAAAGAGAAUAAGUUGUGCCUCAUUUCUUACUAUGAAGGAUUUUUUCCCCCUGUUAAAAUUCUCAUUAAAAUAUGAGGAAUUCAUAUGUAUGGUAUGAGUAAAGGCUAGUGUUUAAAAGCAUGAGCUCCAAGACUUUCUGUGUUACUUUUGAGGAGUUAGACCUCAGUCUCUUCAUCUGUAAAAUGUGGGUAGUACUUUGCUAAGCUGUUGGGAGGAUUAAAUUAGAUAAGUGCUUACUUAGCAUGGUGCCAUAUACUUAGCAGUAACCAAGGAGAAAGAAAUGGUGGGAGGGGUAUGAGCAUAAUAAUAACAGUAAUGAUGGUGAUAAUAUUGGUGCUGAUAGUAAUACUAGUUAUUAUUUGCUCCCUUCUCAAUAGAGGUUUGCAUGAGGGCAGAGGCUUGUUUGCCACAGUUAUCAGCCAGUCCAGUUACCUUGACCAAGACAGAUAUGUGGUCUCCUUUUAGCCCAUUGUGCUCUCUUACCCUGGUAUCUAUAGGUACACUAUCCAAAAACAAGGGGGAAAGAAAGUGCUUAGGGUCUCACAGGCAUAGUUGGUGCUCUGUAAAUGUUGUUGAAUGAAUGGUGACCUAAAGCAAGCAUUUUCUAUAGACAGUGUGUGGUGAACUUUUAAAAGAGGGGUUUGAUCAUCUUUAAAGUAUAUGGAAGGGGAGUUCCCUGGUGGCUCAGCAAGUUAUGGAUCUAGCAUUUUCAUUGCUGUGGCACAAGUUCCAUCCCUGGCUUGGGAAU
rnacentral:lncRNA from 1 species